rnacentral:rRNA from 1 species
ACCUCUUUGGGAAUGAGACAAGGCCCAAAUUCUUACGGGAGGCAGCAGUAGGGAAUUUUCGGCAAUGGACGAAAGUCUGACCGAGUAACGCUGCGUGAGUGAUGAAGGUUUUCGGAUCGUAAAACUCUGUUGUUAGAGAAGAACAAGGAUGAGAGUAACUGUUCAUCCCUUGACGGUAUCUAACCAGAAAGCCACGGCUAACUACGUGCCAGCAGCCGCGGUAAUACGUAGGUGGCAAGCGUUGUCCGGAUUUAUUGGGCGUAAAGCGAGCGCAGGCGGUUUCUUAAGUCUGAUGUGAAAGCCCCCGGCUCAACCGGGGAGGGUCAUUGGAAACUGGGAGACUUGAGUGCAGAAGAGGAGAGUGGAAUUCCAUGUGUAGCGGUGAAAUGCGUAGAUAUAUGGAGGAACACCAGUGGCGAAGGCGGCUCUCUGGUCUGUAACUGACGCUGAGGCUCGAAAGCGUGGGGAGCAAACAGGAUUAGAUACCCUGGUAGUCCACGCCGUAAACGAUGAGUGCUAAGUGUUGGAGGGUUUCCGCCCUUCAGUGCUGCAGCUAACGCAUUAAGCAUUCCGCCUGGGGAGUACGACCGCAAGGUUGAAACUCAAAGGAAUUGACGGGGGCCCGCACAAGCGGUGGAGCAUGUGGUUUAAUUCGAAGCAACGCGAAGAACCUUACCAGGUCUUGACAUCCUUUGACCACUCUAGAGAUAGAGCUUCCCCUUCGGGGGCAAAGUGACAGGUGGUGCAUGGUUGUCGUCAGCUCGUGUCGUGAGAUGUUGGGUUAAGUCCCGCAACGAGCGCAACCCUUAUUGUUAGUUGCCAUCAUUCAGUUGGGCACUCUAGCAAGACUGCCGGUGACAAACCGGAGGAAGGUGGGGAUGACGUCAAAUCAUCAUGCCCCUUAUGACAUGGGCUACACACGUGCUUCAUUGGGAAGUACAACGAGUUGCGAAGUCG